rnacentral:rRNA from 1 species
CCUACGGGAGGCUGCAGUGAGGAAUAUUGGUCAAUGGGCGUAAGCCUGAACCAGCCAAGUCGCGUGAGGGAUGAAGGUUCUAUGGAUCGUAAACCUCUUUUAUAAGGGAGUAAAGUGCGGGACGUGUCCCGUUUUGCAUGUACCUUAUGAAUAAGGAUCGGCUAACUCCGUGCCAGCAGCCGCGGUAAUACGGAGGAUCCGAGCGUUAUCCGGAUUUAUUGGGUUUAAAGGGUGCGUAGGCGGCCUUGUAAGUCAGCGGUGAAAGUCUGUGGCUCAACCAUAGUAGUGCCGUUGAAACUGGGGGGCUUGAGUGUGUUUGAGGCAUGCGGAAUGCGUGGUGUAGCGGUGAAAUGCUUAGAUAUCACGCAGAACCCCGAUUGCGAAGGCAGCCUGCCAGGCCAUGACUGACGCUGAUGCACGAAAGCGUGGGGAUCAAACAGGAUUAGAUACCCUAGUAGUC